CCGGUAUCGUGAUAGUAUUGUACCGUGAACCCGGUAUCGUGAUACUAUUGUACUGUGAACCCGGUAUCGUGAUACGUAUCGGAUCGUGAAUCUGGUAUCGUGAUACUAUUGUACCGUGAACCCGGUAUCGUGAUACGUAUCGAAUCGUGAACCCGGUAUCGUGAUAGUAUUGUACCGUGAACCCGGUAUCGUGAUACGUAUCGGAUCGUGAAUCUGGUAUCGUGAUACGUAUCGUGUCGUGAACCCGGUAUCAUGAUAGUAUUGUACCGUGAACCCGGUAUCAUGAUAGUAUUGUACCGUGAACCCGGUAUCGUGAUACGUAUCGGAUCGUGAAUCUGGUAUCGUGAUA
ensembl:lncRNA